AUUAACUUCAAAUGAAUUGAACAGAGAAAAAAAAACAAAAGGCUAUAUAAAUGAACAUAUUUGAUAUUUAUUGUUGGUCAUCAUUGAUUAUCGAAAAAUAAAAAAGAAUUAUUAUUAUUAUUGAUCUCACAUAACCAACGAAUCGCCAAAUGUCAUUUUGCAUUAAUCACAUAUACAAUGGAAACUCUAAUUACGAUCCAGAAGAAUGUUUGUAACUCGAAUUUAUUCAAUUGACAAAUCAUCAAAGAAAAAAUAAUGGAAUAGAAUCUACAUUUGAUACAAUAUUCACCAACAUAACAGUUGAAGGAUUAAUAAUUAAUUCAUCAUCAUCAUCAUCAUUACGAUUCAUUGGAUUCUUGAAACGUGGAAAAAGAAGAAAAACAAAGAAAGAAUUUUUUUUUUUUGGAAAUCUUUGGAAUUAAUUUAUGGUUUUUUUUGACGGG